UACGUAGGGGGCGAGCGUUGUCCGGAUUUAUUGGGCGUAAAGAGCGUGUAGGCGGCCAGGUAGGUCUGCUGUGAAAACUCGAGGCUCAACCUCGAGACGUCGGCGGAAACCAUCUGGCUAGAGUCCGGAAGAGGAGAGUGGAAUUCCUGGUGUAGCGGUGAAAUGCUUAGAUAUCAGGUGGAACACCAGUGGCGAAGGCGGUGUUCUGGGCCAGUACUGACGCUGAUGCGCGAAAGCGUGGGGAGCGAACAGG
rnacentral:rRNA from 1 species